CCAUCAGUAGUUUAAAAAUAUAAAUAUUUUUGUGGGAUAUUAUUUCAUCUAAGAAUAAGAACAAUUAAGAAUUUCCCUUUCGGGAAAGAAGGAAAAUCAGAACAUAUUUUAGAGAAUUAGAAACUUGUAUUGUAUAUAUGUUCUUCCGUGUUCUUACAAAUGAAAGAAUGAUCUCCUUUUAUAGUAGAGAAAAGGUAAAAAAGACAUUAUCUAAAAGCAAAGAAUCUUUGCUUUUUUCAAAAUGUCAAAAAGAGAAUAGUAAAAGCUAUCCUAUCAAAUCUUACUUUAUAUAAUAGUAAGAUUCUUUUACAGAUUUUUCAAAAAGUAAAUAGUAAAAAAUCUUCAAAAGUCUUGACGUCUGGACAAAAAUCUUCAAUCAAAAAAUUCUUUUUCUAGAGACUUCUUGUCUUUUCUCCAGCUGUCUGAUUUAUUCUUUACACCUGUCUGAAAAAUCUCUUAUCUUGUUGCAUAAUUGUGUCUGCCAAUACUGUCUAAAGAAUCUCCUCCAUCAGUAAGAUCUUCUGGAUUAUCUUCUGAAUUAUUGUCUUUGGAGUCAUCUAAAUUUAUGUCUUGUUCAAUCUUCUUUUUUCCUUUAUUUUUCUUUUUAAUUUGUAAUUUCUUUUUCUUCGUAGUACUUUGUUUAACUUGUUGCUGAAUUUCUUCAAUCUUUUCAAACAUUUCUUUAAUCUUUCUAAUAUCUGAUUGAGAAAUUUGGUCUGGAUCUUGAGCUGAUUGGAAUGAUCCUGGAAAAUUAAUUGGGCUUUUCUGUUUAAGAUCUAUUGGGCUAAUAAGUCUGGUAGCAGAAUUAUAAGUCUGCUGUGUCUGAUCUUCUUUAUUAUAUGUAACAGGAUUUUCAGCCUGUUGAGUCUGAGAAGUAGAGGAAUCAACAGUCCUCUGAGUCUGUUGAGCUUUUGGUAAGCCCAGAACCAUAAACGGAUUUGAAAAGUCUUUACCAGCUUCCGUUUGAGCUGGACUAGCUAUAGAUUUAUUGGGCUCUAUAGUACCUGCUUCUGUCUGAGAGAUAGGAUUUAAAAUUUUUAAAUUAAUAAUCUCUUGCUCCAAAUCAGAGAUCUUCUUUUGUAAUGCUAAUUUUUCUUGUUGCAAAGUCUGAUUUGAUUCAUUUAAAAUUUUAAAAUUCUUUGUCAUACAUUCACAAUGAUCACAAAAUCUUGAAGAAUAAUCUAAAGGUUGAUCUGAAACAUUUUUUAAAGAAGGAGCAAUAAAAUAAUUUGAACCAAUAAAUUUCCUACAUUCUUCUAAUGCUUCUGAAAUUGAGUAAAAUCCUUUGUAAAGAGGAUUUGGAAAAUUCUUAAUACAGUCUGAAACUUCUAACCAGGUAUGGUAAAUUCCUGGAAGUCUUCCAUUUAAAACAACAUAACAUUUAAAUUGUUUAUGAUCUUGACUAAAAUGUUCUGAAAGAGCAUUUAAACAUGAUAAAAAAUAUUUUUGGUCUUUUGGGUUUUUAUUAUAAGAAAUCCAUAAAUUAUCUAAAAUACAUUUAUCUGCCUUUGUUACUGAAAUAUGAG
rnacentral:lncRNA from 1 species